rnacentral:lncRNA from 1 species
GGUGCGUGCAGACGGGUCAUAGCUUGCACAAUAGGGGUAGCCGUUGUUCUCUGGGAAGCCGCCGGGGUUUUGGGGGCACGUGGUGCGCAGGUCGUAGUAGUAGGUGCCACUGCCCGAUCCCGAGUAAAGGACUUUGCUACCACCACUGCAUGGGCGGCGGGGGACAGAGUGGGGCGAAGUGUGACGAGCAGGGUGGUAUCCACACGCAUGGCGGUUUAUUAGCAAUUUAAUAGUAGCUAGACUCUGUCACAGAUGCAACAACAGCAAGCAGAGCGUGUCGAGUUCGUACACACACCCGCACUGAUCCCAUCUACCUUGACCAGCCUAGCCUAUGAGCUCCUAUUUCGUGUUUUCCCACGCAGUAAUUUCAGACUGUAGUAGCUGGUACACAGUAUAGCUCUACAAAUACGCGCGACGCGCGACCGCCAGCACCUCGAGAGGCCUUUUCGGCGGCCAGCUACUACAUUUGGUAUCGAGACCUUGUGAAGUCGUCGGUUCAACUUCGUCGGUUCAACUCCCACUAAUCACGCUUGGUGGAAUAUGGGGUUUGGUGACUCAGUGAGCGAUUAUCGCGAUAAUAGUGUAGCUGAACCGACUGGACUGUCUCUGUGCCUGAAAAACCUUUAGACGGCUAGGCGCAUGUGUGUGUGACAUGACGUGACGUGGACUGGGCACCCACUGCCCGAGGGUAGGCGAAGGUAGGCACAGGCUGGUGGUAUACGUGGCCAUAAGGACCCGAGACGGAUCCCUUCAAAAGGGGGGAAUGUAGUAGCUGAUACACAGUACGGCUCUACAAAUAUGCGCAAAGCGCGAUCACCAGCAUCUCGAGAGGCCUUUUCAGCGGCCAGCUACUACACAGACAUACAUCCAUCGAUGUGCAUACGUACCCUCCUCCUUAGCACGGCACAUUGAUGACCUGGCCGAUUUGCAGGCUGUUGGGGUCAACUCCCGGGUUCAAGGACUGAAUGGCGCCCACGGUGGUGCGGCGCCGCUGGGCGAGGAUCCAAUAGGUGUCACCAGCUUGAAUGGUGUACUUGCAGCCUGCGUAUAUUGAGUGAGGCAAGGGAAACACUACUUAAGCAGGAGCAGCACCGCUGCUUACUUACCCUACUUAAGCAGGAGCAGCACCGCUGCGGCUCAUUCGAUCAUCACAUAAAAUAUCGCCUCAACACACUUGUGCCGACAGGUCUGCUGCACUUUUCUAAAGUGUGGUGCGUGUGUAGUGACUGCCUGCUGGGUAGAUAGGGAGGAUGCAACAGCAGACGCGCAGCAGCAGGCGUAUGUUCAUUAUGUGUACAACAGCUAGCUUGAAAUAAUGUAUGUGCCGUACUGGAGAUAUACGUCAAUACUACGAUAGCAAGCCAUUGGCGACGGCUUUCGGUUACCAUUUCUCUGUUUCAUCACUAGCAUAGCAUAGUAUGCAUAUUAUGGGAUGGUGUCAGCGGUCGCACCCAACAGCUAUAAACGAAGUACCGUCCGGUGUUUCUCAGAGGGAGACUUCCGAGUUGAUUAGUUUACUAAUGUUUUAAUUUACUCAGCAGCUGGUUCAGGGUUUGCAGAUUCAAUAGGAUUGCUGCGAAGGAUGAUUAUCUUAUUAAGUCCUCCCUCUGAAUCACUCAACAAACGCAAAUGCCAAUGAGAUGCACCCAAGAACGAGCUAGCCAUAGGGAUACCUAGGCCUAGCCAUAGGGAUUACCAGGCCUGUAAACGCUCCUUCGCCAGCUGUGUUCGCAAUAGCACCGCCUCUCAUUGACGAUCGAUCGCCUCCGGACUGCUGGGGAUGACAGACGAUGGCUCCGCCGUCACCACUUCCACACUACUAUUUUCCCCCCCUCUUUCUGACAAUAUUGCUUUGACACAAAUCUUAAAAUCUGCACGUUUUCUGAGUGAAACGAAUAUUUAUGACCAGGCUCGCCCCUUCCCACGGAAGCAAGCACAACCUUCCUGCCUACAGGUACUCCUCCGUCUGUACGACCCCUAAGCAGUAAGGCAACUACACAAGAAAUCCUAAACAGGCAGUCAUAUGUCUAUAUAUCUGCACCACGCGCGAGCAAGCAAUCGCAUGUGCUUACCUCUGGCAGCUGGCGUAGUGGAGGUCGGCGUUGAUCUGAUCCAGCAGGCACACACGGUACGUGUGGGAUUGAUUGGAGGCACAGUGCUUUUAGUGACAAGAAAUCAGAUUCCUUAAGAUAAUAAAUAAAUUGGGGUGUUCGGGCUUGGGUAAAAUGAAUGGAUUCACGUCGCUCCGGCUGCCCACGCAAGUUCCUUCCUUUGGGCCAUAGGUGGCCAGAAAGUUGUGGCCGGAAAUGCACUAAUAUCAGCACUCAUAGCAGUUAUCAUUAAUAAAUCAACUGCACUCGGUAGAUGCUGGAACAAUAGGUGGUCGGCGGUGCUUGCGUGUUACGGUACAAGCACAUGUAGCCUAUGAGCUCCUAUUUCGUGUUUUCCCACGCAGUAAUUUCAGACUGUAGUAGCUGGUACACAGUAUAGCUCUACAAAUACGCGCGACGCGCGACCGCCAGCACCUCGAGAGGCCUUUUCAGCGGCCAGCUACUACAUUUGGUAUCGAGACCUUGUGAAGUCGUCGGUUCAACUUCGUCGGUUCAACUCCCACUAAUCACGCUUGGUGGAAUAUGGGGUUUGGUGACUCAGUGAGCGAUUAUCGCGAUAAUAGUGUAGCUGAACCGACUGGACUGUCUCUGUGCCUGAAAAACCUUUAGACGGCUAGGCGCAUGUGUGUGUGACAUGACGUGACGUGGACUGGGCACCCACUGCCCGAGGGUAGGCGAAGGUAGGCACAGGCUGGUGGUAUACGUGGCCGUAAGGACCCGAGACGGAUCCCUUCAAAAGGGGGGGAAUGUAGUAGCUGAUACACAGUACGGCUCUACAAAUAUGCGCAAAGCGCGAUCACCAGCAUCUCGAGAGGCCUUUUCAGCGGCCAGCUACUACACAGACAUACAUCCAUCGAUGUGCAUACGUACCCUCCUCCUGAGCACGGCACAUUGAUGACCUGGCCGAUUUGCAGCCUGUUGGGGUCAACUCCCGGGUUCAAGGACUGAAUGGCGCCCACGGUGGUGCCGCGCCGCUGGGCGAGGAUCCAAUAGGUGUCACCAGCUUGAAUGGUGUACUUGCAGCCUGCGUAAAUUGAGUGAGGCAAGGGAAACACCCUACUUAAGCAGGAGCAGCACCGCUGCGGCUCAUUCGAUCAUCACAUAAAAUAUCGCCUCAACACACUUGUGCCCACAGGUCUGCUGCACUUUUCUAAAGUGUGGUGCGUGUGUAGUGACUGCCUGCUGGGUAGAUAGGGAGGAUGCAACAGCAGACGCGCAGCAGCAGGCGUAUGUUCAUUAUGUGUACAACAGCUAGCUUGCAAUAAUGUAUGUGCCAUACUGGACAUAUCCGUCAGUACUACGAUAGCAAGCCAUCGGCGACGGCUUUCGGUUACCAUUUCUCUGUUUUAAUCCUAUGUUUCAUCACUAGCAUAGCAUGGCAUGCAUAUUCAUCUAUGGGAUGGUGUCAGCGGUCGCACCCAACAGCUGUAAGGAAAGUACCGUCCGGUGUUUCUCAGAGGGAGACUUCCGAGUUGAUUAGUUUACUAAUGUUUUAAUUUACUCAGCAGCUGGUUCAGGGUUUGCAGAUUCAAUAGGAUUGCUGCGAAGGAUGAUUAUCUUAUUAAGUCCUCCCUCUGAAUCACUCAACAAACGCAAAUGCCAAUGAGAUGCACCCAAGAACGAGCUAGCCAUAGGCCUAGGUAAUCCCCUUGUAAACGCUCCUUCGCCAGCUGUGUUCGCAAUAGCACCGCCUCUCAUUUACGAUGGAUCGCCUCCGGACUGCUGGGGAUGACAGACGAUGGCUCCGCCGUCACCACUUCCACACUACUGUCCUUUAUCUACGGAGUUGUUUGGACUCUUCAUCGAGACACUAGCUGAUCUGAUUGAUACUCAUGACCUUGUAGAAGCUGGAGCACGGAAGUAUGUCGCACCCCUUGUGGACAGCAAGCGCGUCUCCAUACUGUCGAUGUUGUUACAGGGUGGUUAAGCUUCACCAGUGGCCUCCUUCCCGAGGCAGUUCCCUGCUCUCCCCUGCUAGAGGGGCACCCUAAUCCAUUCACCCCAUCCGACUUCAGAGUGUACUCUUUGAGUUUGGCAACUCACCACCAGCAUCCAACCAAAUCUAGCGGAUCAACGGCGCGUCAACUUAGUUCCUGGUCAGCUCGCAAGUUGAUUUUAUCACGUCCUACACCAUCCACAAGAUGGGGGGCCACCUCCCAUUUCAACACCUCUCAAAUACCCCCAGAGGUCGGCAGGCGGAUUUGAAUCCGGACGCGCCGGGAGCAGAAGUCAGGCCUUAACCUCUGCCAGCCGCCUGCCUCCAUACUGUUGAUGUUGUUACAGGGUGGUUAAGCUUCACCAGUGGCCUCCUUCCCGAGGCAAUUCCCUGCUCACCCCUGCUAGAGGGGCACCCUAAGACAUUCACCCCAUCUGACUUCAGAGUGUACUCUUUGAGUUUGGCAACUCACCACCAGCAUCCAACCAAAUCUAGCGGAUCAACGGCGCGUCACUACUGUUGUAUGCAGACGAUGUUAGUCUGCUAGCGACUUCACUAGAGCGAAUGUCUGAGUUGCUACAUCUUGUGGACUUGUUUUGUGAAGCUUUUGGGAUGCGACCAAAUGUCUCAAAGUGUGAAAGGCUUGUUUUUGCAUGUGAUGGCACCCAGCAGUCGGAACUUAGCGAGAGAUGUCAACAGUUACGGCUAUCAGGCCAGGUAGUACCUGCCAAAGAUAGCGCUCGCUAUCUGGGCUUGGUAUAUGGGCCAGAACGGCCUUUUAGUGCGUGCCGUCAGCAGUUGUGUGAUACAGGUCGGUCCGCUAUGUUUUCCUUAAGCGCAAAGCUGGACAAAAUGAAGCUUUUUGCCCCCGAUGUGCGAAUGCGGUGUUUUGCAACCCAAGUCCGAGCAAUUCUGUUGUAUGGCUGCCAGGCGUGGGGCCCUUUUGCGCUGGCAGAGGUCGUGGACAGGGUGGGAAGGCGGCGGGAUAAAGCCAACCUUCCGGAGGGCAUGUUCGAAGCCUGUUUGAAGGAUAGUGCAGUCCAGCUGCAGAUUUUAUUCAUGAGGCAGGUAGUGGGGACGGCACGGCCAUCCCACAGGCUGUUGUACGCCGAGCUGGCUGAACUCCCCUUACAAUAUUACAUGGUGAAGCAGAUCCUCCGUUUCUGGAACCGCCUUCAAAAGCAAGUGGGAUCCAUUGCUCAUGCCGUUUUACGGCAGGAGAUAACCGAUGCCCUGACCAACCCGGAAUGGGAGGGUUGGGGAAUCUCAAUGUUACGACUGUUUUCCUUCUUGGAGUGCAACAUUUGGAGCGGAAUACCGCAAGAAGUCGUGGGGGUAAAGGAGCGUGUUGACUGGUUGUUGAGUAGACCUCUACCCGAAGGAGCGAUGAUAACGGCACUAAGGGAGCGUUUGAUGAGCGGCUGGGACCAUACGCGUCUGACUGUCUUGCCAGAGGAGUACCCAUCAGAUGGGAAGCAACCGGGAGUGCAAAUGGCGAAGUAUAAGCACUGGAUGGGGCUGUCCUUUUCGGGAGCCGCAGCCGUCAUGUGGCCAACACAUGCUAAGGUUUUCAUUCCUCGUUUAGCACAUCGUAAGCUAAUGCAGUUUCGUUUAUGUUGCUGGGCUUUGGAGGCAAACAGAGCACGAAGGGGCAAGUACCAUGUCCCCAGGGGGCAGCGGUUUUGCCACUGUUGUGGUACAAAUAGCCGAAUUGAGGAUGAAAAACACGUGUUAUUGGAAUGUCCAGCCUAUAAUGAUAUUCGUGCUGAAGAGGGAUUCGAUCAUCAACAGAGCAUGUUGGAGGCCAUGCAAUGGGAACCCGCACGUCUGGCAAGGAUGUUGGAACGUAUGUGGGCUCACCGAAACUCAAUUACCCCCUUUGGACGCUAGUCUGGGCUGAUGUGCGGUGUUUUUUCCUUUUCUCCGUGGCUUUUAGGCGUUGUAGUAUUGCCCUUGGGCCUUCGGCUCGUAUGGGAAGCAGGGUUCGACACCCCGUACGGGGCCCGUAAGUUUUUGGCCUUUUUUCGGUAUCCCCGUCAGGGCCCGUAGGACUUUUCGGUGGCUCCCGUAAGGAUUUUGGGGCGCGAAGCGCCCCGUACGGGGCCGCCCCCGGACGGGCCGAAGGCCGGUUACGGUGGCUCCCGUAAGGAUUUUAAGGAUUUAUAAGAGGCCGUACGGGGCCCUGUAGGGGAGAGGACGGACCAUAUAAAGGAUAAGGCCACACACUUGGCAGACAUAAUUCAUAUUGCAAUAUUUAACUACACUUUUCAUAAAACUUUUAUAGCUUCUGGUCUGUAACAUCCAGCGAUGGCAGACAAUGAGUCGUCAGGAGGUGACCAAGCGCCUCCUAAUCCACCGCCCUCCAAGAAGCGCGAGAAAAUAACGAAAAUAACGAUUUACAGAGCAAAAAAAUGCAAAGCGUCACUUUCCACAGCGUUUCAGCCAAGGACAGUGCCCCCGUAAAGGUUUUGCGGGGGUUACGGGGGCCCCCGUAAGGUUUUCGGCCGGUACAGGAGCCUGGUACGGGGGCCCCUCCGUAAGGAAAAUUUGGGAGGUACGGGGGAGCCCGCAAGUUUCAGGAAGGUCAGUGUCGAACCCUGAUGGGAAGUCUUACAGGUAUGGGGUCACGCACCCCCAACCAUGUAACACACACACACACACACACUUCCACACUACUAUUUUUCCCCCCUCUUUCUGACAAUAUUGCUUUGACACAAAUCUUAAAAUCUGCACGUUUUCUGAGUGAAACGAAUAUUUAUGACCAGGCUCGCCCCUUCCCACGGAAGCAAGCACAACUUUCCUGCCUGCAGGUACUCCUCCGUCUGUACGACCCCUAAGCAGUAAGGCAACUACGCAAGAAAUCCUAAACAGGCAGUCAUAUGUCUAUAUAUCUGCACCACGCGCGAGCAAGCAACCGCAUGUGCUUACCUCUGGCAGCUGGCGUAGUGGAGGUCGGCGUUGAUCUGAUCCAGCAGGCACACACGGUACGUAUGGGAUUGAUUGGAGGCACAGUGCUUUUAGUGACAAGAAAUCAGAUUCCUUAAGAUAAUAAAUAAAUUGGGGUGUUCGGGCUUGGGUAAAAUGAAUGGAUUCACGUCGCUCCGGCUGCCCACGCAAGUUCCUUCCUUUGGGCCAUAGGUGGCCAGAAAGUUGUGGCCGGAAAUGCACUAAUAUCAGAACUCAUAGCAGUUAUCAUUAAUAAAUCAACUGCACUCGGUAGAUGCUGGAACAAUAGGUGGUCGGCGGUGCUUGCGUGUUACGGUACAAGCACAUGUAGCCUAUGAGCUCCUAUUUCGUGUUUUCCCACGCAGUAAUUUCAGACUGUAGUAGCUGGUACACAGUAUAGCUCUACAAAUACGCGCGACGCGCGACCGCCAGCACCUCGAGAGGCCUUUUCAGCGGCCAGCUACUACAUUUGGUAUCGAGACCUUGUGAAGUCGUCGGUUCAACUUCGUCGGUUCAACUCCCACUAAUCACGCUUGGUGGAAUAUGGGGUUUGGUGACUCAGUGAGCGAUUAUCGCGAUAAUAGUGUAGCUGAACCGACUGGACUGUCUCUGUGCCUGAAAAACCUUUAGACGGCUAGGCGCAUGUGUGUGUGACAUGACGUGACGUGGACUGGGCACCCACUGCCCGAGGGUAGGCGAAGGUAGGCACAGGCUGGUGGUAUACGUGGCCGUAAGGACCCGAGACGGAUCCCUUCAAAAGGGGGGGAAUGUAGUAGCUGAUACACAGUACGGCUCUACAAAUAUGCGCAAAGCGCGAUCACCAGCAUCUCGAGAGGCCUUUUCAGCGGCCAGCUACUACACAGACAUACAUCCAUCGAUGUGCAUACGUACCCUCCUCCUGAGCACGGCACAUUGAUGACCUGGCCGAUUUGCAGCCUGUUGGGGUCAACUCCCGGGUUCAAGGACUGAAUGGCGCCCACGGUGGUGCCACGCCGCUGGGCGAGGAUCCAAUAGGUGUCACCAGCUUGAAUGGUGUACUUGCAGCCUGCGUAAAUUGAGUGAGGCAAGGGAAACACCCUACUUAAGCAGGAGCAGCACCGCUGCGGCUCAUUCGAUCAUCACAUAAAAUAUCGCCUCAACACACUUGUGCCCACAGGUCUGCUGCACUUUUCUAAAGUGUGGUGCGUGUGUAGUGACUGCCUGCUGGGUAGAUAGGGAGGAUGCAACAGCAGACGCGCAGCAGCAGGCGUAUGUUCAUUAUGUGUACAACAGCUAGCUUGCAAUAAUGUAUGUGCCGUACUGGACAUAUCCGUCAGUACUACGAUAGCAAGCCAUCGGCGACGGCUUUCGGUUACCAUUUCUCUGUUUCUCUGGAAACUAUAUAUGGUUGCAAACAUGAAAACCAACCCGACACUGUUACCUGGCCCUUCCCUUACGGAAGGAGCCAUUUGUCGAGUUGUUGUUGACUUUUGGGGCCGCAUUCAGGGUUUCGCAGCUCUGGGAAUUACACAGAAAGGUUGGGAUUCUGUUGGUGCACAUCACCCCUUCUUGCAGAUUGUGUCAGGCAAAAUGUUAUGCUCACGGGAGCGGUCACCGAUAGACGAUUAGCUAUCACCUAAUUUUUUUAUUGUCUUAAUUGGAGGACUUUUGAGGCUCAGGCCUAUUCAAUAUUAACUGGGAAUCCUGAGACUUCCCUUUGGUCGCGGUUUUGACUGUCGAUUUUCUUUUAGUUGUCUCACCUGGGUGAUUUUCGAGUUUGUAUAUUAGUGUCUAGUGCAAUGCACGGCCAGCUGGCCCGCUGGCUCUACUCUUUGUGAGUCUGGAUCUGUCUGGAGCCCACUGUAAUGGUUGCAAAAACCCACAGGCCUGGAAGGCUCCCGGAAGCUGGCAGGUGCAGGUGCCGCUCAGCUGCAUCAAGGUGCUUCAAGGCCCCAAACUACCUUGAAGCGUUAGGAUGGAUAAAAUGAAGAGUGUAGCUGUUGUAUUCUGGGCAUAUUACGGGAUCUGCGCCCGCCGAUCGAUACUUUUCUGACGCCGUGAUACAACUCUAGCACCGCUCAGCACCGCCGAGCAAUCAGUGCAAUCGUAGGUCAGUCGGCAUGCAGAUGGCAACAUAUGAUGUCAACAUCAACCAUCCCAGGGGCAUGCGUGCCAAGGCCUACCUCUUAGAGAGCAGGGCAAAUAUACCGUAUACACCGACGUGAUGUCGGAAAAGCGUGUGUAUGUGAUGGGAUUGAAUGACGACACACCUACCUGAUGCCAGCAAGCGCCGGCUGCUGUCGCCAUCAGCGGCGCAUGUGUCGACGAUGAACGCGGAAGCGGCGACAGCUACGACAAGCAGCAGCAGGGUGCUGCUGAAGCGCGGCAUAUUUACUUCUCGAACCGAUCUACACUGUAUUGCGUUCGUGAAUUGCAAGAUGCUUGAUGUACCGCUGUUUAAAGCAGCUCUCAUACAAACGAUAUGCAGGUACGACUGCCGAAUAAAAACUCCGUACAAUUCCAAAAUGCGAAGGCCACGGCCGGCUCUGCGAAGGCCACACGCAUAAUGCUUAUCCCACCAGCACUCCUGGCUUUUGAAAAGGUCAGACCCCUUGGCGCGGCCCGCCGAGGGCUUCACAUUCUGGGCAAGAUAAUCAAGCCGCUUCAGCUCCCGAUCGAAUAUCGCCCGCCCGCGAAUUUUACGCACAUACGCGUCAAGCCCGCGUUCCCGGCUUUUGAGAGCUGGCCUUUGCGCGCCCGGCCGUGGCCUUCGCAUUUUGGAGUUGUACGGAGUUUUUAUUAAGCAGCUUGCAUCACGUUUGAGUGAGAGCUGCUUAAUAAAAACCGUCGUUUGAGUGAGAGGCUGCUUAAUGAAAACCCUCGUUUGAGUGAGAGGCUGCUUAAAGACGCUAACGCGACACCUCGCCUCUUCACGCUUGUCUUUUCAAUGUUUCAUUAUCUAUAAAAGAAAUAUGGUAGUAAUGAAAAGAGAACGAAGGAAGCUGGGGGACGUGUUGAGACAGGGCCCUGGUUAUAACAUGACGACGGGUGAUCGCGUUAAGUCCGCGUUAGCUCGCGUUAGUUCGCGUAACGGUGCGAAUCUUAACGUUAGGUGCGAAUGAGCAUGCUUUUGUAACGCAAAGAGCUAACGCACAACGGCUAUGGAAAAGCGGAAAUCGGCCCUUCUGGCCAAGUUUUUAAAAAUUUAUAAUUUACAGAUUGUAAAGGUUUAUUUGGAAAUAAACUUGCGUCGUUUUGGUCGACUUGAACAAUUCAUCCGUGCGUAUGUUGAAACGCGAAGCAUACGCGCAUGUGUAGCAAGGCGAUACGCAUGCGAUUCCAUAUUGCGAUUCGUGCGUGUGGGGAGACAAUGCGUAAAGCAAUUCGCGUCCACUCGCACAUCAAACGCACACAGUCCGCAAGGCUAUUUGCAUGCGAAUGCAUGUUGCGUAUCAUGCGUAUGAAGGCUGAUUGCGUAAAGCUUAACGCGGCCUAACACUCACCUUACGCACACAUGUCGCAACGCAUUUCGCAUGCUAAUACAUGCUGCGUUUCAUGCGUAUAAAGGCUCAUUGCGUCAAGCUUAAUGCGGCCUAAGCUAACACACAACAAGCACACACAAUUUACCUUUGAUGAAUCGCAUGACAUAACAAUUCACAUGCGAUGUUUUAAGUGUUGUCGCAUACGCAGUUCGUUAACCUUCACGCAGUUUCAUGAAUAACAUGCUUGGCAGCACUCAGGGGGGCCUUCCGCAAACGAAAUCGCAUCAGGCGCAGCCCUACAUCGUACAACAAUUCAUCAUACCAUCAAUAGAUGCCAGAAAGGUGGCGGGACAUGCCGCAUGCGAACGCGCACGCAAUUAGACCCCCGCCGUGAGAUGCGUCGGUGGCUGUGAGGCAGGUGGGGACAUGCCUGGGAGGCUGAAAGGGCUUCCGGACGCAUAAAUCGCACCAGGCGCCGUCGUACGCCGGACCAACGAUGCAUCAUAACAUUAACUAGCUGUUAGAAAGGCGUUAGGAAUAGGAGCAUCCAUACGCGCACGCAAUUAGACCCCCGCCGUGAGAUGCGUCGGUGGCUGUGAGGCAGGUGGGACUUGCCUGGGAGGCUGAAAGGGCUUCCGGAUGCAUAAAUCGCACCAGGCGCCGUCGUACGCCGGACCAACGAUGCAUCAUAACAUUAACUAGCUGUUAGAAAGGCGUCAGGAAUAGGAGCAUCCAUACGCGCACGCAAUUAGACCCCCGCCGUGAGAUGCGUCGGUGGCUGUGAGGCAGGUGGGGACAUGCCUGGGAGGCUGAAAGGGCUUCCGGAUGCAUAAAUCGCACCUAAAGCGCCUAAAGCGAAAUGAUUUAGCACCACCUAUAGAAAUAGAAAUGCACAUGUAUAGAACCAACAGUGCUGCAAGCCGCCAACACCCACGGUCCUGCCUUGCUGGAAUUCCCGGUGUAAUCCGACCUCGAAAUUGCAAUUUAGAAUGGACAACAUUUACAGAGAGCACCUGGCAAGAGCGCGGGGCAAUCCAGAUGGUCCUAUCACUGCUGGCAUGCUCCUAGCCCUCUAGGAGGAUUUCAAGAAGCUCGGAGACCAGAUGCUCGAUCUGGAAAAUGAGCAACAACUCUCCCGCAUGGAGAUGAUCAAUACAGCGAUACUUACCAACGGCGAUAAGAGCUUCGUAUGUCGCAGCCCUACUAUCCCUACGAACGCGGAGGGGGGUUGAGAAACUUAGGAGAAUGCUUAAGAACGAUAAGAACGUCUGAAGAACACGGAGGCGGCGGGUGUGCAUUCUUAAACAUUCUUACACUGGGAUUAAGCGGUUUUAUGUAAGUAUGUCAUAUAAGUAGGGUUGUUGAUUUUAUUAGAAUUUCAGGCGUUCUCUACUAAUUAUAAUAUUAUUUCUAAUUAGAACGUUAGAAAUAAUAUUAGGAGACCUGGGGUAACUUCUCAGGGAGGGGGACUUUUCACUUCGGAGUUUCACCAUGGUUACGGCAGAUGCUAACCCAGGUGUUUUUAACGGUUUUUACGGGGCUACGACACCCGUAAGCAGGACUUCUCAGCCAAACCCCCGGUCGAAGUGACCUCUGGGUCACUAAUUUCGCCUUUAAACUGUCUUAGACUGUCUUAAACUGUCUCUGCGUACGCCUUCCCAACAUCUUUGGUACCUGAACCAAGAGUCCAAGAGUCCAGUCCUAAUUGUCUGCAAAGCAACACCCAACACACAGUCCGGACAUGCCAAACCUGUCGCCCCAAAACUUCUAGAAAAAUCCAUAAGUGUAUGUUGCUUUAGGAGUCUUCGAAACUGGUGGUUUUGAUGGCCCAGCAUCAGCAUCAGCCAUUUUUCCUAGAAAAAUGUGCCGUUGCAGGCUGCGGAGGCGGCCUGAAUAGCCAUUCUAAUGGGUGUACGACAUUAGAACGUCCUAAUCUGUUCUCAAGGGGUCUUCUAACUUUCUCAUUAGAAUUCUAAUUAGUUUAAUUGUAAUAUUAUUUGUAAUUUCUAAUGCACCAACAACCAUACAUAUAAGUAUGCAUUAAGAAUGCAUCAGCCAUGAAAACAUUCUGUAAUGAAUGCCUGAUGGAGCUCUUAUAGUUCCGGAUAGGUAAUAUAUAUCAGUGAUUGCGAAACAGUGAACAUACCAUGAAAUUUCAUGAAAACCAUCAACAUGUGUCUGGGUCUAGACCUUAGAUCUAAUAAUGCGAGAUCUAACAGGUUUAGACCUGUUAGANNNNNNNNNNNNNNNNNNNNNNNNNNNNNNNNNNNNNNNNNNNNNNNNNNNNNNNNNNNNNNNNNNNNNNNNNNNNNNNNNNNNNNNNNNNNNNNNNNNNNNNNNNNNNNNNNNNNNNNNNNNNNNNNNNNNNNNNNNGGAAAAUGAACAAAAAGAGAUUUGGUGGCGUCUUGCGGUUGAUGGGGUGCCUAUGUUAGGAAAUUCCCAUCUUAGGAUGUCGCGCCCAACGAUAUGUGGUUGUGGAGGUUAUCCAAUAGGUUCAGUGGGAGGUGUAUCCCCUCGCUAUCAUCAUUUCUGGGCCUGUCCGGUGGCACAGGCAAUAGCAGAUCAACUUACUCUUUCAAUAGGAUUGCCAGUCUCAAGGGAGCAACUUUGGCUUAUCCAAGCCCCACAAUCAGUGCAACAAUGUGUUUGGGAUGUUGUGGCUCUUGCUGCGGUGUCAGCCAUGGAGCAUGGGAGACGUUAUAUGGCUGCAAACAUGAAAACCAACCCGGCACUGUUACCUGGUCCUUCCCUUACGGAAGAAGCAAUUUGUCGAGUUAUUAUUGAUUUUUGGGGCCGCAUUCAGGGUUUCGCAGCUUUAGGAAUUCCACGAAAAGGUUGGGAAUCCGUUGGCGCACAUCACCCCUUUUUGAGGAUUAUAUCUGGCAAAUUGAUUUGUUCGCGAGAGCGGUUACCGAUGAGAGGUUAAUUAUCUGAGAUGAUAAUCUUUUGGUAUAUUAGUCUCUACUGCAGUGCACGGCCAGCUGGCCCGAUGGCUCUACUCUUCGGGAGUCUGGAGCCCACUGUAACAACCACACACACACACAUCCUUGCAUCCUGGGGGAGUCUUGGCAGGAUGCGUUAACAUUAGGGCUGGGAAUUACGGUUACGGUCCUUACGGAGUUGCGCAUUACACCUUUCGCAAUUACGGUGACCCCCCAAAAGCACAGUAAAAUGACGGUCCUUACGGUGUAAUGCAAUUACGGUUACCAAAAGGUCCAAAUUACGGUCGGACCGCAAGCGUGCGAGCCAAUACCGACGACCACACCUCGAAACAUGCCAUUUCGUCCCUUGGAGCUACGGGAUAGUAUUAAAAAGCUUAUUAUACAUUAACCUAUGAUUAUGGCUGCUUGCAAAACAAAUUGCGGGAUGCGAGGCGAAGUGCAGUCUUGCGUACUGCUGAAGUCGCAAGUCGCAAGUUGCAAGUCGCAAGUUGCAAGUCGCAAGUUGCAAGUCGCAAGUCGCAAGGAACACGCAAAAUUUUCUAUUAUGAUAUUCUAUAUACGCGAAUACGUACGUGUGCAUACUCAGUUUGUAGAGCGGAUCUCACAAUGUUAACUUAACAUGCAUCCUGUCAGUUGGAUACAUCCUACACCCCCUUUCCAUAUCCUAGCUAACUGCCUAACACACGAAGUAACUUAAAUAUCGUUCUUCUUAUCUCACAGAACUAAAGCAAGAGUGUUACAAAAGAUCUUGCAGCAAAGCAACAUAUUUAGCUUACAUCUGUUACAGAUUUGGAAUUUUCGUAAAUGUGACUGUAGUAGCUGGUACACAGUACGGCUCUAUAAAUACGCGCGAAGCAGGACCACCAGCAUCUCGAGAGGCCUUUUCAGCGGCCAGCAACUACAUUUGGUAUCGAGACCUCGUGAAAAUUCACGAUCCUGAAGUCGUCGGUUCAGCCCCCACCAAUCACGCCUGGUGGAAUAUCGGGUUUGGUGACUCAGUGAGCGAUUAUCGCGAUAAUACUGUAGCUGAACCGACUAGACUAUCUCUGUGCCUGAAAAACCUUAAGACGUGGACUGGGCACCCACUGCCCGAGGGUAGGCGAAGGUAGGCACAGGCUGGUGGUAUACGUGGCCGUAAGGACCCGAGACGGAUCCCUUCAAAGGGGGGGGAAUGUAGUAGCUGGUAGACAGUACGGCUCUACAAAUACGCGCGAAGCGCGACCACCAGUAUCUCGAGAGGCCUUUUCAGAGGCCAGCUACUAUAGCGAGCCCGAGCAGCUCAACAGUGGCAGUGAAAUGUCUAUCUUACACCUCCAGAAAGUAUUUGCUAACUUAGAAUCAUCUAUUGAGAAAGCAUUUGCCCCUAGUAUGUAGGUUAAUGCGUGUAGACCACUGGCCCACCAUAACGAAACAGGAUAUAUCCUGAUUUCCUUUCUCUUGAUAUGAUGAGAAAUAUUCGCUGGUGUAAUUAGCGAGUUUAUACACACACCGAGCCUGGGGCCAUGGGCUGGCUCUACAGCCCUGCAAGGCUUGUGUUGGUGAGGCAAUCUUUACAAUUAUACACUCGAAGUGUUUGGUGAACAUGUAUGUUUGUAUGCGUAGACAUGUGAGCUCGAUACAGGCAGAUGCAUGGAUGGAAGUGUAUAGAGAGGCAUGCACAUAUUUUUUUUACAUAAGCGAAAUAGGCAUACGUGCUCACAUAGAUGGAUGAGACAGCUGUGAUAGCAUGUGUAGGCAGGUUGGACAGGGACAUGCUUACAUUCCAUUGACACCAGCAUAUGGCCCGGCAUACGGACAAGGAACACUUGUAAACACGGGUUACCCUGUCUGUUACCCCUCAGUACAAUAAUACCCCGACCCCUUUGUUACCCCUUGGUAAGGGGUUACCCCUACCCCUUUGUUACCCCUUGGUAAGGGGUUACCCCUACCCCGGGGUUAGGUUACCCACCUCCCUUUGUACAUACCCACAUGGGUAACCACUUACCCCUACCCCUACCCCUAACCCUAACCCCUGGGUUAUGCUUAAGGGGGGAUUACCCCUCGUUUUAUGCCAUAGGGAUAGUGUGUUUAGGAUUUAGGAUAGACAGCAAUCGGAUCGAUACUUAUCAGCUGGUGUAAUGUUGUCAUUUAUGAUGAACUUGAUUGUCUUCUUACAUGUGUAAUGUGUAUUUGUUUACGUAAAUACUUGGUACCCAGUGCUUGGUUUAAUACUGAAGUUCUUGAUAAUGAUUAUAAAUGUUACUUCAUAUUUUGUUUGAAGUUCUUGACACACGUUACUUCAUAAUUGCCUGAAGUUCUUCAUAAAUGUCACUUAAUAUUUGUUUGAAGGACUUAGUAUUCGGUACCAAGCGCUUCAAGUACCAUUAUGUGUGUGUGUGUGUGUUACAUGGUUGGGGGUGCGUGACCCCAUACCUGUAAGACUACCCAUACGAGCCGAAGGCCCAAGUACCAUUAGUAUGUAACAUGAUACUAAGUGAUCUACUAAGCGACUUAUUAAGAAUGUUACCAAGUAGCUAUGAAGUAGAUAUGAAGUGGGUAGCACUAAGUUGAUAUCGACCGUGCUGGAGUCAAGUAUUUUGUGACUAGCCAUGAUCUCAUCAUUGCUACCGAAGCACACUUAACGGAUCCAGUGCCAGACAAUGACGUGUCCCUUGAAGGUUUCCGCUUGAUGCGGGUGCAGAGGCCAGGAGACGCCGUACACGCUGACUAUAGAGGGGUUGCUCUUUACGUGCGUGAUACCGUCUCCCAUGGGGUUACCAUUGUCCGGAAGAACAACUGUCUUGCAGGCUGUGAGGUCCUGUGGAUACGUGUCAACCUCCUGUCAGGAAACAGCCUCCCGGUGGGGGCCUGUUACCUUACGCCCGAAGCUUCCAGAGUAUACCCAGCCGGAGGUGCAACUAAUGCACAGCAUGCAGCAGCGGCAGAGGCUACUUUCGCGAGAGUCCAACAAGAUAUUUCCGAGCUCCGGCAGCCGGGGGAGGAUGUGAUGCUUGCCGGUGAUCUAAAUGCCCGUCUAUCCAGUGCACUGCAUGCAAAGCACCGGUCCUCGCCUGCUGACCUGCCCGGGUAUGUUAAUGAUGUUCCAGAUUUAGAUCAGCUGACGGCAAUGCAGGAGUUCAUGGGCUUGCCGGGUGACGCGGACCCUCAGGGCUAUGCAGACGUGCCUGCAUGUAGGAGUGAGGACCUCGUCUGCAAUUUUGUUGGGCACCCGUUGGGUGCCCUGUGCCGAUCACAGGGACUGCUGGUAUUAAAUUGCCGAGGAUUUGGAGGGUCGUCUGACAUUUCCCAAAGGUGAAGCAGGUGGGAGCAUGAUCGAUCUUUUUGUUGGUUCUCCAGUGUUCUCGUACGUUCUCCAGUGUUCUCCGUACGUUCGGACGCGUCCAGCGUUUUUUUAAGUAAUAUAUUAAUAAAAAGAAAUAAACAAACAUUUUGGCCUUUGGAAAAAAAGAAUAAAAUGAGGCCGACCCGUCUGGUGUUAGUGAUGGUGCCGGGGUCGGUGGAGGAAGAGUGCCGGUUCUCGGCAAUGGGGUACUUGCAGGACCCCACCCUUAACCGCCUGGACGAGCACCUAGCAUUGUGUGUGCGAUUUUUUACCCAGGACCUGUUCGACCUGGGCACGUUCCCGUUCCGUGACGCACUGAGAGUGGCUGGACAGCAGCAGCAGGGGCCAGUACGUGAUGAACCGGUAAGAGUCCUAGUGUGCUGUGGUUUGCAGAGGCGGGUGGCGGCCUGUGAUUUGCUAUGCGGUUGCUUGCUUUGGGCCUUUGUUUGGUCGAUUUUACUUAUUGCUCACAAACAGUGCCAGAACUAUCUACGCAUGUGCACGAAGAGUUCACACACGAACGAAAACGCGCCAACUCAGUGCGUGACUCUUGGUCUAUGAGGGGAGUUGUGACUUAUCGUGGGGGGUCUGGGGGGCCCCGGAGCUUCCCCCAGCGCCUCACACUUAAGGAAUAAAUUACGACGACCCUAGCAGCUUUGACAGCCUAUGCAGCUGAGCACAGAAAGAGUCCGACACCGACGCGUACGGCAUCUUGGCCAGCCUUGCUCCGCUCUGGCCAUUGCCCACAAAACCUUUUGUUAGCAUCGUAUUAGUCAUUUAGCUGGUCAUUUGGGACAUUCCGGGGUGUGAGGUGCGGGGCUUCCCUUGGUACUUUACACCGGCUUAAACACUCCUGGUCUAUACCGUGUGUCUGUCACAGGGUUUGGCCCAGGGUAGCCACAGUAAUCCGCUCGCAACAACUGCUUUCAUUUAUGGCGGUGAUGAGCCGGUCUUUCUUCAACUAUUUCAACCAGGACACCCAGGAAAUAAGUGUAUGCAUCCAGCGCUCCAUGCAUGUACGACGGAUAGAACAAUCUAUCUGGACAUUAUAAGAUUCUCAUCAUCAAUCACGGAGGUACAAACUGCUGCACCACCUCAUCCACCACUUGCCAGGAGAUGCCCGGAACCACCCCCAGCGAACAGGCAUUGCUGGCGGCCCGCUGCAAACCACUCAAACUGAAGUCAAUGCGACCCCCGCCAACACAUGCCUCGCAGCCGUCCCACACGAAGAAGCUACCACCGUUCGGAGCCGUCACAGGAACGCCAUUCUUGAACACCAGGACUUUUUUGCCACACAGCCUGGCACGAUUUGCUGACAGCACAUUGCGGUCAAUGGCAAUGACGUUAUUAGUGUUGAGCUGAGCGAGAGUCUUGUAGGUGGGUGCAGACGGGUUAUAGCUGGCACAAUAGGGGUAGCCGUUGUUCUCUGGGAAGCCGCCGGGGUUUUGGGGGCACGUGGUGCGCAGGUCGUAGUAGUAGGUGCCACUGCCUGAUCCCGAGUAAAGGACUUUGCUACCACCACUGCAUGGGCGGCGGGGGACAGAUCGGGGCGAAGUGUGACGGGCAGGGUGGUGUACACACGCUUGGGGGGUUAUUAGUAGUCUAAUAGUAGCUAGACUCUGUCACAGAAGCAACAACAGCAAGCAGAGCGUGUCGAGUUCGUACACGCACCCUCGGAGACAGGCAUGCAGAGGGCACAUGGCUGCACGUGCAGUACUGAUCCCAUCUACCUUCGCAGAGGUUCCUAUCGCACGUACAUAUGCCACAUAUACCGUGCUGAGGACAGUCCGGACAGCUAGCCGGCAGGGGGAAGACAGGGGACCUGACGACACACAUGCAUGUGUGUUAUGCAUGUGUGCGUAUAUGGUACAUACCCUUGCGGUGCAGGGCCAUUGCUGCCGCAUGGCACAUUGAUGACCUGGCCAACUUGCAGCCUGGCGGGGUUAACUCCCGGGUUCAAGGACUGAAUGACGUCCACGGUGGUGCCGCGCCGCUGAGCGAUGGCCCAAAAGGUGUCACCAGGCUGGAUGGUGUACGUGCAGCCUGUGUAAAUUGAGUGAGGCAAGGGAAACACCCUACUUAAGCAAGUGCAGCGCCGCUGUGGCUCAUUCGAUCAUCACAUACAAGUUGGGUGUCGGCUUCCUCGAAAAAGGGCGGGGCCCCUCUGCAUCGUACAGGCCGGUAGCUACAGUGGCACGUGUCACAAUUGAUGGGUAGUGUCAACGCGGUGGGAGAUGUGCUUUGUUGCAGCAGUGCUGAUGGUGUGAGAGCUAAGCUUGCACCGGCGGAAUCGUCAGCACCGCCUGAGGGCUCCACGCGAAUCACAUCCAUUCCGGGUGCAUGCCGCAUGGACAGUGCGGCAGACCGCAAGUCGGAAUGUCCGUGCGGGCAAAUGGUAACGAAAGCUGGGUGAAUUUCGGUGCUGUCUGUGAUGUUUAUCCCCGAAGCGCCAGCGGCCUCAGCAAUCCGCCCCACAGCCGCGGGCUUCAUCAGGGCACACCGCAAGUCUCAGGAGGCCCCGUGCAUUGGCCAAAGUAAAUGUACAAACAAGCAGCUUGUGUAUUUCAUAGAGGAAUGAAAGCAAAUUAUGUUGGCCUGCUGGUGGCAAGUCGGAUUGCCCAUGCCGGCAAAUGGUAACACAAGCUGGGUGUUCGAGUUAUCACACGCCGUCAUCUCAGAAUUCCAUUGUGAGAUACGCGGCAGCUCUCGGGAUGAAAUUUAGCGCGAGAGGCGUUGAUGUGACUUUUGAGGUCGGUGAAUGGAGGCAGCUAAACUUGUUUGUGCUCAUACGGUCUUUGUUAGCUACAUGCGAGAUACCUUGCAAAGAGAAUGCUGUAUAGUACCGAUAACGCGUUUCAGCCGGGUGAAAUAUUAUGUUUGGUCCGUUACACACUCAAGGCCUGGGAGUUCGAGUUAUCAUACGCCGUCAUCUAAGAAUUCAAAUAUGAGAUACGCGGUACCUUUUGAGAUUAAAUUUAGCGCGAGAGGCGUUGAUGUGACUUUGGCCUCGGUCAAUUGAGGCAGCCAAACUUGUUUGUGCUCAUACGAUUUUUGUUGGCUACAUGCGAGAUACCUUGCAAUAGAGAAUGCUGUAUAGUACCUUUAACGCGUUUCAGCCGGGCGAGAUAUUAUGUUUGGUCCGUUACACACACACACACACACACACACACACACACACACACACACACACGGACAUGGGCAAUCCUACAGGUCGGGGCCCCCCUGGGCGCUUCGCGCUGGGGCCCCGCCCAAAAAUAUCGCCUCAACACACUUCUGGCCACAGGUCUGCUGCACUUUUCUAAAGUGUGGUGCGUGUGUAGUGACUGCCUGCUGGGUAGAUGGGGAGGAUGCAACAGCAGACGCGCAGCAGCAGGCGUAUGUUCAUUAUGUGUACAACAGCUAGCUUGCAAUCAUGUAUGUGCCGUACUGGACAUAUCCGUCAAUACUACGAUAGCAAGCCAUCGGCGACGGCUUUCGGUUACCAUUUCUCUAUUUUAAUCCUAUGUUUCAUCACUAGCAUAUCAUAGUAUGCAUAUUAUGGGAUGGUGCCAGCGGUUGGACCCAACAGCUAUAAACGAAGUACCGUCCGGUGUUUCUCAGAGGGGGACUUUCGAGUUGAUUAGUUCACUACUGUUUUUAUUUACUCAGCAGCUGGUUCAGGGUUUGCAAAUUCACAAUAAAUUGCUGCGAAGGAUGAUUAUUUUAUUACCUCCUCCCUCUGAAACACUCAACAAACGCAAAAUGCAAGUGGGAUGACACCCAAGAACGAGCUAGCCAUAGGCCUAGGUAAUCCCCUUGUAAACGCUCCUUCGCCAGCUGUGUUCGCAAUAGCACCGCCUCUCAUUGACGAUCGAUCGCCUCCGGACUGCUGGGGAUGACAGACGAUGGCUCCGCCGUCACCACUUCCACACUACUAUUACUUUGACACAAAUCUUAAAAUCUGUAUGUUUUCUGAGUGAAACGAAUUUUUUUGACCAGGCUCGCCCCUUCCCACGGAAGCAAGCACGGCUUUCCUGCCUGCAGGUACCCCUCCGUCUGUACGACCCCUAAGCGGCCGCGGUAAGGCAACUACGCAAGAAAUCCUAAACAGGCAGUCAUGUGUCUAUAUACCUGCACCACCUGCGAGCAAGCAAGUGCAUGUGCUUACCUCUGGCAGGUGGAGCAGUGGAGGUCGGCGUUGAUCUGACCCAGCAGGCACACACGGUACGUAUGGGAUUGAUUAGAGGCACUGUGCUCUUGGUGAUAAGAAAUCGAAUUCCUUAAAACAAAUAAUAAAGUAAUUGGGUUUUUCGGCCCGGGGAAAAAGGAAUGGAUUCACGUCGCUCUGGCUGCCCACACAAGCUCAUUCCUUUUGGCCAUAGGUGGCCUGAAAGUCGUGUCCGGAAAUGCAUUAAUACCAGCACGAAUAGCAGUGAUCAUUAAUAAACCAACUGCACUCGGUAGAUUCUGGAACAUUAGGUGGUCGGCGGUGCUUGCGUGUUACGGUACAAGCACAUGUAGCCUAUGAGCUCCUAUUUCGUGUUUUCCCACGCAGUAAUUUCAUACAUACAUACAUACAUGUGCGUACGUACCCUCCUCCUCCUGAGCACGGCACAUUGAUGACCUGGCCGACUUGCAGCCUGGUGGGGACAACUCCCGGGUUCAAGGACUGAAUGACGUCCACGGUGGUGCCGCGCCGCUGAGCGAUGGCCCAAAAGGUGUCACCAGGCUGGAUGGUGUACGUGCAGCCUGCGUAAAUUGAGUGAGGCAAGGGAGACACCCUACUUAAGCAGGAGCAGCGCCGCUGCGGCUCAUUCGAUCAUCACAUAAAAUAUCGCCUCAACACACUUGUGCCCACAGGUCUGCUGCACUUUCCUAAAGUGUGGUGCGUGUGUAGUGACUGCCUGCUGGGUAGAUGGGGAGGAUGCAACAGCAGACGCGCAGCAGCAGGCGUAUGUUCAUUAUGUGUACAACAGCUAGCUUGCAAUAAUGUAUGUGCCGUACUGGACAUAUCCGUGAAUACUACGAUAGCAAGCCAUCGGCGACGGCGCUCGGUUACCAUUUCUCUAUUUUAAUCCUAUGUUUCAUCACUAGCAUAGCAUAUCAUAGCAUGCAUAUUCAUCUAUGGAAUGUUGCCACGUUUAGAGCUUGCAUAACCCAUCUGCAUAACAAAAUGUACAGUACAGAGCGGAGAGCUGAUCACUUGUCGGUUGCAGAGUGCGUUUCCUCCUUUCUGUCCCUAGGGCAUUAAAUUUAACUAUGUUAUAAUGUUCUCUAUCUGAUUUGUAAAUGGUCAUGAAGCCGCAUCCUUUGACAUGAUGAGUCCAACAGCCGACGUCGUUGGUUUCCAGUUGGAGCCCAGCCGACGCUCUGGGGAGCCCUCGGCCACAUCGCAACCGCCAAAAUGGAGUCCUCAAAAGCAACACAUACAUUUAGCCAGGCCGCAAAAACAGGCCUGGAAGGCUCCCGGAAGCUGGCAGGUGCAGGUGCCGCUCAGCUGCAUCAAGGUGCUUCAAGGCCCCAAACUACCUUGAAGCGUUAGGAUGGAUAAAAUGAAGAGUGUAGCUGCUGUAUUCUGGGCAUAUUACGGGAUCUGCGCCCGCCGAUCGAUACUUUUCUGACGCCGUGAUACAACUCUAGCACCGCUCAGCACCGCCGAGCAAUCAGUGCAAUCGUAGGUCAGUCGGCAUGCAGAUGUCAACAUAUGAUGUCAACAUUUAACCAUCCCACGUGCAUGCGUGCCGAGGCCUACCUCUUAAAGAGCAGGGCAAAUAUACAGUAUAUACUGACGUGAUGUCGGAAAAGCGAUGUAUGUGAUGGGAUUGAAUGACGGCACACCUACCUGAUGCCAGCAAGCGCCGGCUGCUGUCGCCAUCAGCGGCGCAUGUGUCGACGAUGAACGCGGAAGCGGCGACAGCUACGACAAGCAGCAGCAGGGUGCUGCUGAAGCGCGGCAUAUUUACUUCUCGAACCGAUCUACACUGUAUUGCGUUCGUAAAUUGCACGAUGUUUGAUGUACUGCUGUUUGAAGCUCUCCUAGCUGCUUUCAAGUGCGCAGACGCAUUCAACAUUAACCUCAGCGGAAGCUUUUAUGCAGCCCCUUGCAAAAACGUGAUUCAGGGUACGACCUGAAGAAACUGCCCGUACAAAGCAAAAUGCGAAGGCGACGGCGGGCCUCGCAAUUUGUGUAAAAUCCGCGGGCAUGCGAAAUUCGGCUUGGGCGGCUUAAGCGGCUUAAUUAAGCUUGGCAAGCAGAAAUCUUCAGAAUAAAUGAGCUGCUUAAGUGCGAAAAAGCAAAAACAAAGAAAAUAAAGCGAAAACAAAAAGACGGAUAAGGGCCGGGCUCCACUGAUUUGUUUGUUAGCGCGUUUCCAAAUUCCUGAAAAGACGCUAACGCGACACCUCGCCCCUUGACGCUUUUUAUUUCAAUGUUGCAUUACCUAUGAAUGAAAAUGGUAGAAAUGAUAAGAGAACGAAGGAAGCUGGGGCGACGGUGAAGAACGUAGGGCCCGUGUUGAGACAGGGCCCUGGUUAGGACAAAGCCAAUAAACUUUAACGCGAAAAUUUCUUUGCUCUAUUUUGAAUCGGCUUACGCCCAGUCCCCUUUGGAUAUCUCGCCUACGCUUUGAAGUGCUCGCCGCGUUGACUUUCGCUGACAUACAGCAGGACAACCUGCCGUCCCAGUUUCCCACCCCAACUUUGCCCACGCAGCUUUACAGUAUCCUUCAGUCUACAAUGGCGCAGCCCUUGCAGGGUCCGCCCCGUCGCCUCGACGCAUGGCACCAAGGACAUCAGAAGGGGCACCAGCCCGGUUACCAACAGCAAAAGAAUGUCCCCUCGCAUUUUGCUAUUGCAAUGUGCAACAGAAAUGCAGGAUAGGCGCCUUUGGGCGCUAAAAAACGGAAAAGGGUGGUUUCGGGGCGGCAAGCGGAAACGGAUUGGUAGCGGCGCAAUGAUUUUUUUUUCGAAGUUAACAAGCGACUCAGUGGAGCCCCCUGUAAGGAAUACACCAACAUAAAGGAAAGCUCGUGGCACGCGGGAAGAAAGCCGCAAUGUUAAAAAAGGAAACAUUCAAUAGAAAUAAGGACUUCAAUAGUUUGGCUUGCUGAGAAGCUCGGCGACAGGGUCGCAAAGGGCAGCCUUCAUAAGCAGCAGGCAUGGGCAAGGGUGGAGCUGGCCUUCAUCCGACCCCAGAGGAGCCUUGCAAGGUCGCUCGGUUUCUUGUGUAAUCACCAAGCAGUAUUAAACCUGGGCACAUGCAGCUUCGGUCGGCGCGGCAGGCCGAUGAUAGCAGUGUGCUGUUCUCAAGUGCGCAACGGUAGUAUGCUUCAGACGACACAACCACACAAUGGUGGUAUCGAAGGAUACCGAUUGAGACAAGUGUAUUGAAUAAAUAAUCAUCAGUGACUCCACUUGGGCCUCGCGCCGACAAGUCCCCAGUACGACUGGGCGGCGCGGUAACCCUGCCCGGGCGGCCGCCCGCCCGGCCGCCAGGGCGAUGGAUUCAGGGCGAUGACCUGGAUCCUGCACUUUUGGUACAGGGCGAUGGAUGACAUACAACAAAGGUCCCACUUGGCAAGAGAACAUAAGCCUGCCGACUUAGAACAAUUCAGUACUCCUUAAAUGAAUAAAAUGAAUAGAACGCUGCUAAAACAAUCAGUGUUGGAAAAUAUAGAUGGCGCCGCAAUGCUCACCUUCUGAUCCCCAUAAAGCCUUGAGACAGAAAGCAUAAGACAUAAUUGGAUGACGUCCCAGUAGCUUAAGUACUCAGUCCAUUGCUGGCACAUGUACAGCAAGCUGACGUAUGGAUACGCGGGAAGCCCAUGACCCAGUCUCUUGCCGUUUCGGACAUAGGGACCGUAUAGGCGUAAUGCCAGCGUCACGUGGAUAGCGAAGGCUCCCUAUGUGCGGCAUUCUUUGAUAGCGAUGAGCACGCUCGCUAGUAGCGUGCGUCUUUUUACAGACUAUCAGUAGCCGCCGCAGCUAACAGUAGCCGCAAGUAAACUAAUAUCAGUAUUAGUUAGACCUGUAAUCACCGACAGCGGACAUAUAGACAGGUAAUAGUUAGUGACAGUGAAGUUAGCAAAACAGACCAGACGAGCUCACUGCCGACAGUUAUGUGUGUGUGGUUGUUACAGUGGGCUCCAGACUCCCGAAGAGUAGAGCCAUCGGGCCAGCUGGCCGUGCACUGCAGUAGAGACUAAUAUACAAACUAGACAGUUAGGCUACGGAGCUGCAAGCUGUGCAGGCAGCUUACAGGAUACAACACUCUCGAGAGGAGCAUAUGCUAGCAUGUGCUCCUAGCCCUCUAGGGGGAUUUCAAGAAGCUCGGAGACCAGAUGCUUGAUCUGGAAAAUGAGCAACAACUCUCUCGCAUGGAGAUCAUCGAUCUCCAGGGCCGGUUCAGUAAGCUAGGAACCGACCUGAGCGGCAUCACGAUGGACGCUCCUGGAGUGAUCAGCAGCAACCGGUUCUUUUACUCGGACAGCAUCAUCAUCACGUCGGCGAGGUGUCGCGUUAGCGUCUUUUCAGGAAUUUGCAAACGCGCUAACAAACAAAUCAGUGGAGCCCGGCCCUUAUCCGUCUUUUUGUUUUCGCUUUAUUUUCUUUGUUUUUGCUUUUUCGCACUUAAGCAGCUCAUUUAUUCUGAGGAUUUCUGCUUGCCAAGUUUAAUUAAGCCGCUUAAGCCGCCCAAGCCGAAUUUCGCAUGCCCGCGGAUUUUACACACAUUGCGAGGCCCGCCGUCGCCUUCGCAUUUCGCUUUGUACGGGCAGUUUCUUCAGGUCGUACCCUGAAUCACGUUUUUGCAAGGGGCUGCAUAAAAGCUUCCGCUGAGGUUAAUGUUGAAUGCGUCUGCGCAUUUGAAAGCAGCUAGGAGAGCUUCAAACAGCGGUACAUCAAACAUCGUGCAAUUUACGAGCGCAAUACAGUGUAGAUCGGUUCGAGAAGUAAAUAUGCCGCGCUGCAGCAGCACCCUGCUGCUGCUUGUCGUAGCUGUCGCCGCUUCCGCGUUCAUCGUCGACGCAUGCGCCGCUGAUGGCGACAGCAGCCGGCGCUUGCUGGCAUCAGGUAGGUGUGCCGUCAUUCAAUCCCAUCACAUACAUACGCUUUUCCGACAUCACGUCAGUAUAUACUGUAUAUUUGCCCUGCUCUCUAAGAGGUAGGCCUCGGCACGCAUGCACGUGGGAUGGUUAAAUGUUGACAUCAUAUGUUGACAUCUGCAUGCCGACUGACCUACGAUUGCACUGAUUGCUCGGCGGUGCUGAGCGGUGCUAGAGUUGUAUCACGGCGUCAGAAAAGUAUCGAUCGGCGGGCGCAGAUCCCGUAAUAUGCCCAGAAUACAGCAGCUACACUCUUCAUUUUAUCCAUCCUAACGCUUCAAGGUAGUUUGGGGCCUUGAAGCACCUUGAUGCAGCUGAGCGGCACCUGCACCUGCCAGCUUCCGGGAGCCUUCCAGGCCUGUGGGUUUUUGCGGCCUGGCUAAAUGUAUGUGUUGCUUUUGAGGACUCCAUUUUGGCGGUUGCGAUGUGGCCGAGGGCUCCCCAGAGCGUCGGCUGGGCUCCAACUGGAAACCAACGACGUCGGCUGUUGGACUCAUCAUGUCAAAGGAUGGGGCUUCAUGACCAUUUACAAAUCAGAUAGAGAAGAUUAUAACAUGGUUAAAUUUAAUGCCCUAGGGACAGAAAGGAGGAAACGCGCUCCGCAACCCGACAAGUGAUCAGCUCUCCGCUCUGUACUGUACAUUUUGUUAUGCAGAUGGGUUAUGCAAGCUCUAAACGUGGCAACAUUCCAUAGAUGAAUAUGCAUGCUAUGAUAUGAUAUGCUAGUGAUGAAACAUAGGAUUAAAACAGAGAAAUGGUAACCGAGCGCCGUCGCCGAUGGCUUGCUAUCGUAGUACUGACGGAUAUGUCCAGUACGGCACAUACAUUAUUGCAAGCUAGCUGUUGUACACAUAAUGAACAUACGCCUGCUGCUGCGCGUCUGCUGUUGCAUCGUCCUUAUCUACCCAGCAGGCAGUCACUACACACGCACCACACUUUAGAAAAGUGCAGCAGACCUGUGGGCACAAGUGUGUUGAGGCGAUAUUUUAUGUGAGGAUCGAAUCAGCCACAGCGGCGCUGCUCCUGCUUAAGUAGGGUGUCUCCCUUGCCUCACUAAAUUUACGCAGGCUGCACGUACACGUACACCAUCCAGCCUGGUGACACCUUUUGGGCCCUCGCCCAGCGGCGCGGCACCACCGUGGACGUCAUUCAGGCCUUGAACCCGGGCGUUGUCCCCACCAGGCUGCAAGUCGGCCAGGUCAUCAAUGUGCCGUGCUCAGGAGGAGGGUACGUACGCAUGUAUGUAUGUAUGUAUGAAAUUACUGCGUGGGAAAACGAAAUAGGAGCUCAUAGGCUACAUGUGUGUGUGUGUUACAUGGUUGGGGGUGCGUGACCCCAUACCUGUAAGACUACCCAUACGAGCCGAAGGCCCAAGGGCAAUACUACAACGCCUAAAAGCCACGGAGAAAAGGAAAAAAAAAGGCUACAUGUGCUUGUACCGUAACACGCAAGCACCGCCGACCACCUAAUGUUCCAGAAUCUACCGAGUGCAGUUGGUUUAUUAAUGAUAACUGCUAUGAGUGCUGAUAUUAGUGCAUUUCCGGACACGACUUUCGGGCCACCUAUGGCCAAAAGGAAUGAACUUGUGUGGGCGGCCAGAGCGACGUGAAUCCAUUCAUUUUUCCCAAGUCCGAAAACCCCAAUUUAUUUCUUAUUUUAUUGAAUCUGAUUUCUUGUCACUAAGAGCACAGUGCCUCUAAUCAAUCCCAUACGUACCGUGUGUGCCUGCUGGAUCAGAUCAAUGCCGACCUCCACUACUCCAGCUGCCAGAGGUAAGCACAUGCACUUGCUUGCUCGCAGGUGGUGCAGAUAUAUAGACACAUGACUGCCCGUUUAGGAUUUCUUGCGUAGUUGCCUUACUGCUUAGGGGUCGUACAGACGGAGGGGUAGGAAAGUUGUGCUUUUGCUUCCGUGGGAAGGGGCGAGCCUGGUCACAAAAAAUUCGUUUCACUCAGAAAACAUACAGAUUUUAAGAUUUGUGUCAAAGUAAUAUUGUCAGAAAGAGGUGGAAUAGAUAGUAGUGUGGAAGUGGUGACGGCGGAGCCAUCGUCUGUCAUCCCCAGCAGUCCGGAGGCGAUCCAUCGUCAAUGAGAGCGCGGUGCUAUUGCGAACACAGCUGACGAAGGAGCGUUUACAAGGGGAUUACCUGGGCCUAUGGCUAGCUCGUUCUUGGGUGUCAUCCCACUUGCAUUUUGCGUUUGUUGAGUGUUUCAGAGGGAGGAGGUAAUAAAAUAAUCAUCCUUCGCAGCAAUUCUAUUGAAUCUGCAAACCCUGAACCAGCUGCUGAGUAAAUUAAAACAGUUAUGAACUAAUCAACUCGGAAGUCUCCCUCUGAGAAACACCGGACGGUACUUCGUUUAUAGCUGUUGGGUGCGACCGCUGACACCAUCCCAUAAUAUGCAUACUAUGCUAUGCUAGUGAUGAAACAGAGAAAUGGUAACAGAACGCCGUCGCCGAUGGCUUGCUAUCGUAGUAUUGACGGAUAUGUCCAGUACGGCACAUACAUUAUUGCAAGCUAGCUGUUGUACACAUAAUGAACAUACGCCUGCUGCUGCGCGUCUGCUGUUGCAUCCUCCCCAUAUACCCAACAGGCAGUCACUACACACGCACCACACUUUAGGAAAGUGCAGCAGACCUGUGGGCACAAGUGUGUUGAGGCGAUAUUUUAUGUGAGGAUCGAAUGAGCCGCAGCGGCGCUGCACUUGCUUAAGUAGGGUGUUUCCCUUGCCUCACUCAAUUUACACAGGCUGCACGUACACCAUCCAGCCUGGCGACACCUUUUGGGCCCUUGCCCAGGGGCGCGGCACCACCGUGGACGCCAUUCAGGCCUUGAACCCGGGCGUUGUCCCCACCAGGCUGCAAGUUGGCCAGGUCAUCAAUGUGCCAUGCGGCAGCAAUGGCCCUGCACCGCAAGGGUAUGUACCAUAUACGCACACAUGCAUAACACACCUGCAUGUGUGUCAUCAGGUCCCCUGUCUUCCCCCUGCCGGCUAGCUGUCCGGACUGUCCUCAGCACGGUAUAUGUGGCAUAUGUACGUGCGAUAGGAACCUCUGCGAAGGUAGAUGGGAUCAGUACUGCACGUGCAGCCAUGUGCCCUCUGCAUGCCUGUCUCCGAGGGUGUGUGUACGAACUCGACACGCUCUGCUUGCUGUUGUUGCUUCUGUGACAGAGUCUAGCUACUAUUAGACUACUAAUACCCCCCAAGCGUGUGUACACCACCCUGCCCGUCACACUUCGCCCCACUCUGUCCCCCACUGCCCGCGCAGUGGUGGUAGCAAAGUCCUUUACUCGGGAUCGGGCAGUGGCACCUACUACUACGACCUGCGCACCACGUGCCCCCAAAACCCCGGUGGCUUCCCAGAGAACAACGGCUACCCCUAUUGCGCCAGCUAUAACGCGUCUGCACCCACCUACAAGACUCUCGCUCAGCUGGGCAGUAAUAACGCCAUUGCCAUUGACCGGAAUGUGCUGUCAGCAAAUCGUGCCAGGCUGUGUGGCAAAAAAGUCCUGGUGUUCAAGAAUGGCGUUCCUGUGACGGCUCCGAACGGUGGUAGCUUCUUCGUGUGGGACGGCUGCGAGGCAUGUGUUGGCGGGGGUCGCAUUGACUUCAGUUUGAGUGGUUUGCAGGGGGCCGCCAGCAAUGCCUGUUCGCUGGGGGUGGUUCCGGGCAUCUCCUGGCAAGCGGUGGAUGAGGUGGUGCAGCGGUUUGUACCUCCGUGAUUGAUGAUGAGAACCUUAUAAUGUCCAGAUAGAUUGUUCUAUCCGUCGUACAUGCAUGGAGCGCUGGAUGCAUACACUUAUUUUCUGAGUGUCCUGGUUGAAAUAGUUGAAGAAAGACCGGCUCAUCACCGCCAUAAAUGAAAGCAGUUGUUGCGAGCGGAUUACCGUGGCUACCCUGGGCCAAACCCUGUGACAGACAACGGUAUAGACCAGGAGUGUUUAGGCCGGUGUAAAGUACCAAGGAAAGCCCCGCACCUCACACCCCGGACCGUCCCAAAUGACCAGCUAAAUGACUAAUACGAUGCUAACAAAAGGUUUUGUGGGCAAUGGCCAGAGCGGAGCAAGGUUGGCCAAGAUGCCGUACUCGUCGGUGUCGGACUCUUUCUGUGCUCAGCUGCAUAGGCUGUCAAAGCUGCUAGGGUCGUCGUAAUUUAUUCCUUAAGUGUGAGGCGCUGGGGGAAGCUCCGGGGCCCCCCAGACCCCCCACGAUAAGUCACAACUCCCCUCAUAGACCAAGAGUCACGCACUGAGUUGGCGCGUUUUCGUUCGUGUGUGAACUCUUCGUGCACGUGCGUAGAUAGUUCUGGCACUGUUUGUGAUCAAUAAGUAAAGUUGACCAAGCAAAGGCCCAAAGCAAGCAACCGCAUAGCAAAUCACAGGCCGCCACCCGCCGCUGCAAACCACAGCACACUAGGACUCUACCGGUUCAUCACGUACCGGCCCCUGCUGCUGCUGUCCAGCCACUCUCAGUGCGUCACGGAACGGGAACGUGCCCAGGUCGAACAGGUCCUGGGUAUACAUCCGCACACACAGUGCCAGGUGCUCGUCCAGGCGGUUGCGGGUGGGGUCCUGCAAGUACCCCAUUGCCGAGAACCGGCACUCUUCCUCCACCGACCCCGGCACCAUCACUAACACCAGACGGGUCCGCCUCAUUUUAUUCUUGCCAAAAUGCCUGUUUAUCCCUUUUAAGUAAUAUAUUACUUAAAAAAAACGCUGGAUGGAGAACACCGGCCGAACCAACAAAAAGAUCGAUCAUGCUCCCACCUGCUUCACCCUUGGGGAAGGUCAGACGACCCUCCAAAUCCCCAGAAACACGGCAAUUUAAUACCAGAAGUCCCUGUGAUCAGCACAGGGCACCCAACGGGUGCCCAACAAAAUCGCAGACGAGGUCCUCACUCCUACAUGCAGGCACGUCUGCAUAGCCCUGAGGGUCCGCGUCACCCGGCAAGCCCAUGAACUCCUGCAGUGCCGUCAGCUGAUCUAAAUCUGGAACAUCAUUAACAUACCCGGGCAGGUCAGCAGGCGAGGACCGGUGCUUUGCAUGCAGUGCACUGGAUAGACGGGCAUCUAGAUCACCGGCAAGCAUGACAUCCUCCCCCGGCUGCCGGAGCUCGGAAAUGUCUUGUUGGACUCUCGUGAAAGUAGCCUCUGCUGCUGCUGCAUGCUGUGCAUUAGUUGCACCUCCGGCUGGGUAUACUCUGGAAGCUUCGGGCGCAAGGUAACAGGCCCCCACCAGGAGGCUGUUUCCUGACAGGAGGUUGACACGUAUCCACAGGACCUCACAGCCUGCAAGACUGUUGUUUUUCCGGACAAUGGUAACCCCCUGGGAGACGGUAUCAUGCACGUAAAGAGCAACCCCGCCAUAGUCAGCGUGUACGGCGUCUCCUGACCUCUGCACCCGCAUCACGCGGAAACCUUCAAGGAACACGUCACUGUCUGGCACUGCAUCCGUUAAGUGUGCUUCGGUAGCAAUGAUGAUCACAUGGCUAGUCACAAAAUACUUAACUCCAGCAUGGCCAAGUUUUAUGACCCCUGUCUCCGGCAACCCAUAGACAUUCCACAACAAAACCUUCAAUCCUCUUUGCCCUGGGCUCGCGUUAUCCUAGUAUCCACUUCAGCAGGCAGGCCUGCAAACCGGUCAGCACUAGUAUGCUCGCCAGCCUGGUCAUGAGGUCGGUUAUCAGCUCUGCUGCUGGGCCCUGCAUGUCCCUCCCGGCUUCUAAUUGUUCCCUUGUCAACCCCAGAGCUUCAACUCCCACCACGGCUGUCUCGAUCCUGGUCCUUUGCACUCCUCCGCCCAGAGUGAAGCCGUCAAUGUCCAUGGUGGGGCCGGUGGCAAAGCUGGGCCUCGAAUCCCGAGGUGCUGGUGCCUGGUUUCGGGACUGGUCAAGCCUUCUAGGUGAUGCUGAGUACAUGAGCCUGUAUACUGGCUCUGUGCGUGGGUAUUUGCCUCCUUUUGCCUUUACUGCACUCAGUGAAGCCACGUGUGUUUCUCGGAUCUUCAUACCCAGCUGCUGUCUGUAAGACGGUGGAGCUGGUGGUGGGGCGGCUGGUGAUGAUGCCAUUGGCAUGGGAGGUGGUGGUGGCGGUGGUGGUGGUGGUGGCAUGCUGCCACCGGCAGCGGCACCACUGCUACCAGUAACACCGACUCCGCCUGUAUGGCCCUCAGAAGGCAUAUUUACAGCGUCGUCAUCAUUCUCAGCAUCCAUUCUCCGCCUUCUCCACCAUCGCUGUCGUCGUCACUGUACUGACUUGGGUAUGGCACCGGUGCUCCCCCGUUCGGUCUCUUCUUGUAAUACAGCUCCGCCCCGUUACACCACAUGGGGAUCCACUGCUUCACCUUAAUCACCUGCCACAUGGGCCGUAGCCUUGACCUUUCAGCACGCACUUCCUUGGUGAGCGAGUCGUCUACCCGAAGACCCAACCUUUUCAGGUCAGGUGCAGCAUUAAAGUAUUUGGACCGGUCUUUCCACCUGAUGUCAAUGAACCAGCUCUUCGUGUUGCGAUCUGGCCUCUCAAUAUGAGUGAGAAGACCGCUUGGCCAUUGCCCACAAAACCUUUUGUUAGCAUCGUAUUAGUCAUUUAGCUGGUCAUUUGGGACGGUCCGGGCUGUGCGGUGCGGGGCUUUCCUUGGUACUUUACACCGGCCUAAACACUCCUGGUCUAUACCGUGUGUCUGUUACAGGGUUUGGCCCAGGGUAGCCACAGUAAUCCGCUCGCAACAACUGCUUUCAUUUAUGGCGGUGAUGAGCCGGUCUUUCUUCAACUAUUUCAACCAUGACACUCAGGAAAUAAGUGUAUGCAUCCACGCAUGUAUCCAUGCAUGUACGACGGAUAGAACAAUCUAUCUGGACAUUAUAAGGUUCUCAUCAUCAAUCACGGAGGUACAAACUGCUGCACCACCUCAUCCACCACUUGCCAGGAGAUGCCCGGAACCACCCCCAGCGAACAGGCAUCGCUAGCCGCCCGCUGCAAACCACUCAAACUGAAGUCAAUGCGACCCCCGCCAACACAUGCCUCGCAGCCGUCCCACACGAAGAAGCUACCACCGUCCGGAGCCGUCACAGGAACGCCAUCCUUGAACACCAGGAUCUUUUUGCCACACAGCCCGGCACGAUUUGCUGACAGCACAUUGCGGUCAAUGGCAAUGACGUUAUUACUGCCCAGCUGAGCGAGAGUCUUGUAGGUGGGUGCAGACGGGUCAUAGCUGGCGCAAUAGGGGUAGCCGUUGUUCUCUGGGAAGCCGCCGGGGUUUUGGGGGCACGUGGUGCGCAGGUCGUAGUAGUAGGUGCCACUGCCUGAUCCCGAGUAAAGGACUUUGC